UGCAAGUCGGACGAGACUUUUCGCUGUAGCAAUACGGUGGAAAGUUAGUGGCGAACGGGUGCUUAACACGUGGGCAACCUGCCGAGAAGUGGGGGAUAGCUCGCCGAAAGGCGAAUUAAUACCGCAUGUGAUUAGAGAGGACAUCCUUUCGAAAUUAAAGUCGGGGCAACCUGACGCUUUUUGUGGGGCCCGCGGCCUAUCAGCUAGUUGGUGAGGUAACGGCUCACCAAGGCUUUGACGGGUAGCUGGUCUGAGAGGACGACCAGCCACACUGGGACUGAGACACGGCCCAGACACCUACGGGUGGCAGCAGUCGAGAAUUUUUGACAAUGGGGGAAACCCUGAUCGAGCGACGCCGCGUGGAGGAUGAAGGUCUUCGGAUUGUAAACUCCUGUCAUUGGGGAACAAGGUGCGUACGUUAACUGCGUGUGCAUUGAUAGUACUCGAAGAGGAAGAGACGGCUAACUCUGUGCCAGCAGCCGCGGUAAUACAGAGGUCUCAAGCGUUGUUCGGAUUCAUUGGGCGUAAAGGGUGCGUAGGCGGCGCGGUAAGUCGGGUGUGAAAUCUCGGGGCUUAACUCCGAAACUGCAUUCGAUACUGCCGUGAUUGAGGACUGGAGAGGAGACUGGAAUUUACGGUGUAAGCGGUGAAAUGCGUAGAUAUCGUAAGGAAGACCAGUGGCGAAGGCGGGUCUCUGGACAGUUCCUGACGCUGAGGCACGA
rnacentral:rRNA from 1 species